ensembl:lncRNA
CGAUAAUAAUGAUAAAAUUCGUUCUUGAUAUUUGUACAAUUACCGAUAAAAUUUGUUUCUUUCUGACGUUUGGUGUUGUUUUUGACCCGUUUGGCCUUCCAUAUCGACGUUUUUGACCCGGUUGGCGCGCCAUAAAGCUUCUCCUCAGAUGAUGCUGAGGCAGUUUCGCUCGCGCUCAGAGUCACAGUCGGUUUCAUCCGCGCGCUCAUGCAACUGAGACGUGAAAUACGGAAAUGGUUGUCGCGUGUCAGUAAAAACAAAACGCGUGUCGCAAAGGAUACGUGCGUUCUAACGCCAUUUCCUUUUAAGGUUUUUAUUUUUAUUGUUAUUUUUUCCACCUCCGCGGAUUAAUAUCGGACCCGCAGUGACACUGAGGAAAGCGGGAUGCUCAGGUGUCGGCGCCGGGAAACAAACUUUCUGGCUAAGUGUUAAACACGCGCGAGACGGUGAAAGAGCGCGUGGAGUCACUGGACUCGGACCUGACAGAGACUUCCGAACUGGAAAGAAGUCCAAGCCUGCUCGGAUAUCAGUGAAGAAGUUAAACGGAUGCCAUGUAGACGACAGGACCGGUUUAAUAAUUCCUCUUCCUGGUAAGAAUGAAGAGUAUAUUUGACCGUUUGGUUUUGAACGUGUGUUAGACGAGAGUACCGGAUUAAACGUGUUCUUCGAGCGGACGUAUGGAAAACGCCACGCUUCUGGGAUUGACGUCGGGAUGACACGUGAAAACCCCAAGAGACCCGAGGGCACGUGCGAGAUCCUAAGUUAAAUCCGUUCUGAAAAACGCGACCCAGAUCUUCGGUCUCGGGAACGGGAGUUCCGUCCGGAUACUAGCGCCGUUAAAAAAAAUAAUAAUUAAAAAAAAAAAGGUCCCCACUUUUUCCUUCAAGGAAUAACAAUCCGUGUGCACAAUAUCGGUCUGACUGACUCCAUGAAGAAAAUGCUCCAUCUUGCUCUAAAUAACGCUUGGAUCUUCUCAACUGAAGCUGAAGGUUGGUUAACGUCACGUGCGCUCGAACAGGUGCGCUGCCGCCCAACUUUCUCCUCGCGUUCAAAGAAUUUCACACACCGUUUCAUGCAAUUUCCAUCGCCUUUGUUACCGCGUCACUUCUCAGCUGCAAACAGGAUAUGGCGCCUUGCAGGUUUAUUUUACGCAUGAGCUGAAAUUUUGUUGCUUUAUCCUCUUCAUAAUUUCCAUAAAAGCACAUUCAUCCAAUGCUACUCAAGAGGAAAGUAAAUCAGGUGUCAAAGUUAAUCAGAAUAAAGUUACAGCCUCCAUACAGCAUUCCCGGUGUUGAAUUUAACGACUACAGAGCUUCAUUCUAUUGCUGUAAGAUUUAUUUCAGUACUAGAGGUAAUAAUUCAGCACAGGUAUUUUUCAUGUGUCUAAGUGCGUAAACGUUAUGCAGAGAAUUAUUAAAGUAAAUUUACCUCAGGACUCAGAGUAGUGCAUGCAGAUCAUUUUACCAGCUGAUUUUAUAUCAGUUGUUCAUGUUAUUUUCCCCAGUAAAAUUAGCCUUUCUUGGUUUAAGGCUAAGCUGCGUGUGUAUGCGUCUGCUCAGAGCGACCCGUACGUUGGCGCUAUGCUCUAGCGCCAAUAUGAG